GGAAUCUUCCACAAUGGACGCAAGUCCGAUGGAGCAACGCCGCGUGAGUGAAGAAGGGUUUCGGCUCGUAAAGCUCUGUUGUUAAAGAAGAACACGUAUGAGAGUAACUGUUCAUACGUUGACGGUAUUUAACCAGAAAGUCACGGCUAACUACGUGCCAG
rnacentral:rRNA from 1 species